GGGAACUUGGAUACUCUAUCAUAAGUAAGAAGGUCAAGAUAUUGCCACAUCCUGGGAGGACUAUGCGCUUUAGCUUUCUUGUCCUUUUUCCUCCAAAGCCAUGCACCAAAAUGGGGGAAGUUGGUAUGGAAUCCAUCAACCAUGUUAGGAUCAGGCACGAUCCCUAGCUCAUAUUCCCAAAUCUAUAAUAGGAAAAUAAUAGAAUAAAGAAGGUAU
rnacentral:misc_RNA from 1 species